rnacentral:lncRNA from 1 species
ACAAAUUAAGCACAGUCGUGAGCGAGGUGUUGUAGGGUCUGUACAUCUAUAUCACAAAUAUAUGAGUGCACAUUUUUAAGAUAGGUACAUGAAUUAAAAAACAUAUUAAAUUGAUAUAAACAUGUUGUACACGCAAUAGAGUGACCGAACAAUAUAGACUGAGGAACCUUACCACGUUAGUCAUAGAUUUAAAGCAAAU